GAUGAACGCUGGCGGCGUGCCUAAUACAUGCAAGUCGAGCGAACAGACGAGGAGCUUGCUCCUCUGACGUUAGCGGCGGACGGGUGAGUAACACGUGGAUAACCUACCUAUAAGACUGGGAUAACUUCGGGAAACCGGAGCUAAUACCGGAUAAUAUAUUUAACCGCAUGGUUCAAUAGUGAAAGACGGUUUUGCUGUCACUUAUAGAUGGAUCCGCGCCGCAUUAGCUAGUUGGUAAGGUAACGGCUUACCAAGGCAACGAUGCGUAGCCGACCUGAGAGGGUGAUCGGCCACACUGGAACUGAGACACGGUCCAGACUCCUACGGGAGGCAGAAGUAGGGAAUCUUCCGCAAUGGGCGAAAGCCUGACGGAGCAACGCCGCGUGAGUGAUGAAGGUCUUCGGAUCGUAAAACUCUGUUAUUAGGGAAGAACAAAUGUGUAAGUAACUAUGCACGUCUUGACGGUACCUAAUCAGAAAGCCACGGCUAACUACGUG
rnacentral:rRNA from 1 species